GAUGAACGCUAGCGGCAGGCUUAACACAUGCAAGUCGAGGGGUAUUGGUUUUUCGGACCAAGAGACCGGCGCACGGGUGCGUAACGCGUAUGCAAUCUACCUUUUGCAGAGGGAUAGCCCAGAGAAAUUUGGAUUAAUACCUCAUAGUAUAGUACUUUGGCAUCAAGGAACUAUUAAAGUCACAACGGCAAAAGAUGAGCAUGCGUCCCAUUAGCUAGUUGGUAAGGUAACGGCUUACCAAGGCUACGAUGGGUAGGGGUUCUGAGAGGGAGAUCCCCCACACUGGUACUGAGACACGGACCAGACUCCUACGGGAGGCAGCAGUGAGGAAUAUUGGACAAUGGGCGCAAGCCUGAUCCAGCCAUGCCGCGUGCAGGAUGACGGUCCUAUGGAUUGUAAACUGCUUUUAUACAGGAAGAAACACUCCGACGUGUCGGAGCUUGACGGUACUGUAAGAAUAAGGAUCGGCUAACUCCGUGCCAGCAGCCG
rnacentral:rRNA from 1 species